CUGUACCCAGCGCGAGGCACUGGGGGAGGAGGAAGCGGUAGCAGAGAUCUGAAUAAUUGAUUCCUCAGCAGCACCAGACGCCUGGGAGCGGGCGGAGAUCGUGGUUUCAGCACCACGGACAGCGGCGCGCCCGCCUCAGGCGCCCCCGCCGCCAGCCAGCUUCCUACCCCGAUCUUACCGCCGCCGUGCGCUCCGGGAGCCGGUGGCCGCGCUCUGCGCCGCCGCCGAGGGACUGCGGGGUCUGCCUCGGCCCGCCUCCGGGGAGGGCGGCUGCGGACGGGAGACUCUCUCGCCCGCCGGAGCUCCAAGCCUUUUCGGCUUUCGCGGGGGCUGCAGCGUCUCGUCGACUGAGAACAAGUCCCCAAGUUGGCGUGGGGGGCGCCCCUGCCUUCCUCCUCCUCUUCCUGCGAGGCGACCGCAGCAGAAGCACGCCUCGGGAGCCCGGUUGAGCCAGUUCUGUGAAACAGGGUGGCCGGACUCCCGCCGGGAAGUGGGGAGCUGAACGCCUGGCGUGGAGCUGGCCCCGCAGCUAAGGGCUUAGAGGGAGCUGCCUGUCCCCCCCGCCCGCGGCUCUCUCGGCCGGGGACCGCGGGGAUCCCCGGCCACACGCGCGCGCGCGCUCCCACAUCCACUCAUACACACACUCGCCCUCACACAUCCAUCAGCCCGGAGCCGGGGCUGCGGAGAGGGCUCUCGCGCGCGCUCGGAGGACCGGGGCAGCGACUGUCCGGAGUGGGGCAGGAAGCCCAGCUCAGGCUCUUGGAGGGAGGCGCCGAGGGCUUAGCCGGAGCAUGGGGCCCGCUGAGCGCUGAGAGUCGCGGCCGCAGCCAUCAGCCCUGGAGAUGACCAGGGGCGGCCACUGCUGAGAACUAUGUGGAGAGAGGCUGCGAGCCCUGCUGCAGAGCCUCCGGCUGGGAUAGCCGCCCCCCGUGGGGGCGAUGCGGACUGCGCGGGACGGCCAGGGGAGCGCGCGGGGGCCGCAGCAUGCGGGAACCCGCUAAACCCGGUGGCUGCUGAGGCGGCCGAGAUGCUCGUGCGCGCAGCGCGCCCCACCGCAUCCUCGACCUUCUCUGGCUACAGGUACGUCCCAGCGGGAAACCUGGGCCCCGCCGGGGUUCUGGGAGAAGGAACGGUCGGCCGGAGGA
rnacentral:lncRNA from 1 species